GCGGCUGUGGUGUAGAGGUUUAUCAUACUUGCUUUGGGCGCACGAUUGCAAGUGGUCCCCGGUUCGACUCCGGGCAGCCGCC